rnacentral:rRNA from 1 species
AGUGAACGCUGGCGGUAGGCCUAACACAUGCAAGUCGAACGGCAGCACAGUAAGAGCUUGCUCUUACGGGUGGCGAGUGGCGGACGGGUGAGGAAUACAUCGGAAUCUACUUUUUCGUGGGGGAUAACGUAGGGAAACUUACGCUAAUACCGCAUACGACCUACGGGUGAAAGCAGGGGAUCUUCGGACCUUGCGCGAUUGAAUGAGCCGGUGUCGGAUUAGCUAGUUGGCGGGGUAAAGGCCCACCAAGGCGACGAUCCGUAGCUGGUCUGAGAGGAUGAUCAGCCACACUGGAACUGAGACACGGUCCAGACUCCUACGGGAGGCAGCAGUGGGGAAUAUUGGACAAUGGGCGCAAGCCUGAUCCAGCCAUACCGCGUGGGUGAAGAAGGCCUUCAGGUUGUAAAGCCCUUUUGUUGGGAAAGAAAAGCAGCAGGUUAAUACCCCGCUGUUCUGACGGUACCCAAAGAAUAAGCACCGGCUAACUUCGUG